CUUCAGCUGGCUGUUUGAAAUAAAAACCUAAGCUGUCCCUGUGGAGAUGAUGAAAUGUAGGUCUAUAUUUAGGUGGAUCCAGCCUGAUUGAACAACUCUAUUCCAAGGUCCUUGGGGCUAGUGGUCAUCUCAUGACGGAAGUUCUAAUUGUCACGUCCUUUUGAAACCAAGGCUGCAUCUCAGAUCACACUGGGGACCACACAGGACCCUGAACCCAAGAACCUUGAGAAUAACAGUGCUUCCAGCCCAGCGCCCUCAGCCAUCAUCUUGCGAAGCAGCCCCUGUGGAGAUGCAUCCCAGCCAUGGCUCCUGCAGGUGCCAAAGUCACAGCUCCUGAAGACCCCCAAAGAAGAU